GGGGUCCUAGCGCCCGGCCGGCGCGCCCCCGCGUGACUCGGUUUAUCCGGAACCCGCGAGGGGAGGAAGCAUUUUCUCGCGGCCGAAACCGCGAGGCUGGGGAGGGGCGGGUCGAAGAGGACAGGGUGAAAGGACGGGGAAGGAGAGGGGUCCCUAAGGAAGGGCUGUGCCACCGAGGCCGCCGCCGCACGUGCAGUUCGUGGCCCCGCGGGGUCCGGAGGGGCGGGUGGCUCUAGCAGCCGCAGGUCCGCAGAGGAAAUCCGGCCUGGCCCCGAUUUCUCCCGCUGUUGGCGCCGCCGCACUUAGGGGAGGCAAACAGGAGAGGUGACGGCGGGGCUGAACACGGAAGGAAAUGACCCUUCACUGGCCCUGGAGCGGCCACAAAGGGGGUUCCCCCACACCGCAGCCAUCCCCUCUGGUGGGUCCACAGUCCCCUCUCUGGUUGUGCUGUAGUGUUCAGAGCCUCCUCCAGCGUCUCCUGGACCCUCAAGCAGCUGUGGAAAGAUCCUUGUCCAAGGGGCCAAAUGCCCGGGAAGUACCUCACAGCAGCCCUGCAGCAUUGGCAGAACAUGGCUGAGCUGGAAUCAGACAGUUCUCAGGCUCUCCCACCCAACCUGCUCCCCCCACAUCCAGCACCACUUCACUUUUCUCUGAGCUGCUGCCAAGCAGAAACUGCUGGGCUGGCACAGAGCUUUGGCUGGGGCUGGGGUAGGGCGGGGCUGGGGCUAUGGCGGGCUGGGGGAGAGCCACUCUCCUCCUCCCACACACCUCCAAAGACUGUGGUUGUGGUUAGUCAGUUCACAGGGGUCCACCUCACUCAGUGCCUAGAUGGGGCUCCCCAGGAGUUGGAGACAGAUGGGCAACCAAGCGAGCCUACCCGCUGCAGAUGCCUCUGGGGACCAGGGCCUGAAAGCGGGAACCCCAUGUGCUCAGUGCCCCUUCCUUCAUCUCUUCAUGUCUUCAGCGAUCACAUUGAGUGUGACUUUUGGCAUAUUGCUUGAUCUUUCUGACCUCAGUUUGCUGAUCUUCAAAGUGAGAAUAAUAGUAACACCUGAUGUUCUGGCUUAUUGUGAAGCCCAAAUUGCAGAAACGUGUGUAAACAUCUGAUGGGGGCCUGGCC
ensembl:lncRNA